AUUUCCUAUUCUGCAGCACACAAACAAUAUUCUUGUGUAGACAUAUGCCUUGUAGAUAUCUAAACCUUUUAGUUUCUCGUUAGGGCUUGUAUUGGCCUGAUUUCCUGGUCUUUUAUAUAUUACAGCAUUUGGAAGAAAAUAUUUAUAGAGGCACUUUAUAACAGCUCAGUCCAAAAGAAAACCUGUUAAGUGGAUACUUUGCAAAUUG